rnacentral:rRNA from 1 species
AUUUCCGGUUGAUCCCGCCGGACGUGACUGCUAUCGGAUUGAUACUAAGCCAUGUGAGUCUUUGUAGCAAUACAAGGCAUACGGCUCAGUAACACGUAGUCAACCUACCUUAUAGACGGGGAUAACCUCGGGAAACUGAGAAUAAUACCCGAUAGAUCAUUGUGCCUGGAAUGGCUUAUGGUUGAAAUGAAUUUCGCUAUAGGAUGGGACUGCGGUCUAUCAGCUUGUUGGUGAGGUAAUGGCCCACCAAGGCUAUAACAGAUACGGGCUCUGAGAGGAGAAGCCCGGAGAUGGGUACUGAGACACGGACCCAGGUCCUAUGGGGCGCAGCAGGCGAGAAAACUUUGCAAUGUGCGAAAGCACGACAAGGUUAAUCCGAGUGUUUCCUGCUAAAGGAAUCUUUUGUUAGUCAUAAUACCACUAUCGAAUAAGGGGUGGGCAAGUUCUGGUGUCAGCCGCCGCGGUAAAACCAGCACCUCAAGUGGUCAGGAGGGUUAUUGGGCCUAAAGCAUCCGUAGCCUGCUUUGUUAGUUUUCGGUUAAAUCCAUAUGCUCAACAUAUGGGCUGCCGGGAAUACUGCAUAGCUAGGGAGUGGGAGAGGUAGACGGUACUCCGUAGGAAGGGGUAAAAUCCUUUGAUCUAUGGAUGACCACCUGUGGCGAAGGCGGUCUACCAGAACACGUCCGACGGUGAGGGAUGAAAGCUGGGGGAGCAAACCGGAUUAGAUACCCGGGUAGUCCCAGCUGUAAACUAUGCAAACUCAGUGAUGCAUUGGCUUGUGGCCAG